rnacentral:rRNA from 1 species
GGGUUGUGAGGUUAAGCGACUAAGCGUACACGGUGGAUGCCCUGGCAGUCAGAGGCGAUGAAGGACGUGCUAAUCUGCGAUAAGCGUCGGUAAGGUGAUAUGAACCGUUAUAACCGGCGAUUUCCGAAUGGGGAAACCCAGUGUGAUUCGUCACACUAUCAUUAACUGAAUCCAUAGGUUAAUGAGGCGAACCGGGGGAACUGAAACAUCUAAGUACCCCGAGGAAAAGAAAUCAACCGAGAUUCCCCCAGUAGCGGCGAGCGAACGGGGAGCAGCCCAGAGCCUGAAUCAGUGUGUGUGUUAGUGGAAGCGUCUGGAAAGGCGCGCGAUACAGGGUGACAGCCCCGUACACAAAAAUGCACAUGCUGUGAGCUCGAUGAGUAGGGCGGGACACGUGGUAUCCUGUCUGAAUAUGGGGGGACCAUCCUCCAAGGCUAAAUACUCCUGACUGACCGAUAGUGAACCAGUACCGUGAGGGAAAGGCGAAAAGAACCCCGGCGAGGGGAGUGAAAAAGAACCUGAAACCGUGUACGUACAAGCAGUGGGAGCACGCUUAGGCGUGUGACUGCGUACCUUUUGUAUAAUGGGUCAGCGACUUAUAUUCUGUAGCAAGGUUAACCGAAUAGGGGAGCCGAAGGGAAACCGAGUCUUAACUGGGCGUUAAGUUGCAGGGUAUAGACCCGAAACCCGGUGAUCUAGCCAUGGGCAGGUUGAAGGUUGGGUAACACUAACUGGAGGACCGAACCGACUAAUGUUGAAAAAUUAGCGGAUGACUUGUGGCUGGGGGUGAAAGGCCAAUCAAACCGGGAGAUAGCUGGUUCUCCCCGAAAGCUAUUUAGGUAGCGCCUCGUGAAUUCAUCUCCGGGGGUAGAGCACUGUUUCGGCAAGGGGGUCAUCCCGACUUACCAACCCGAUGCAAACUGCGAAUACCGGAGAAUGUUAUCACGGGAGACACACGGCGGGUGCUAACGUCCGUCGUGAAGAGGGAAACAACCCAGACCGCCAGCUAAGGUCCCAAAGUCAUGGUUAAGUGGGAAACGAUGUGGGAAGGCCCAGACAGCCAGGAUGUUGGCUUAGAAGCAGCCAUCAUUUAAAGAAAGCGUAAUAGCUCACUGGUCGAGUCGGCCUGCGCGGAAGAUGUAACGGGGCUAAACCAUGCACCGAAGCUGCGGCAGCGACGCUGAUGCGUUGUUGGGUAGGGGAGCGUUCUGUAAGCCUGCGAAGGUGUGCUGUGAGGCAUGCUGGAGGUAUCAGAAGUGCGAAUGCUGACAUAAGUAACGAUAAAGCGGGUGAAAAGCCCGCUCGCCGGAAGACCAAGGGUUCCUGUCCAACGUUAAUCGGGGCAGGGUGAGUCGACCCCUAAGGCGAGGCCGAAAGGCGUAGUCGAUGGGAAACAGGUUAAUAUUCCUGUACUUGGUGUUACUGCGAAGGGGGGACGGAGAAGGCUAUGUUGGCCGGGCGACGGUUGUCCCGGUUUAAGCGUGUAGGCUGGUUUUCCAGGCAAAUCCGGAAAAUCAAGGCUGAGGCGUGAUGACGAGGCACU